rnacentral:rRNA from 1 species
AGUGAACGCUGGCGGUAGGCCUAAUACAUGCAAGUCGAACGGCAGCACAGUAAGAGCUUGCCCUUACGGGUGGCGAGUGGCGGACGGGUGAGGAAUACAUCGGAAUCUACUUUUUCGUGGGGGAUAACGUAGGGAAACUUACGCUAAUACCGCAUACGAUCUACGGGUGAAAGCAGUGGUUCUUCGGACUUUGCGCGAUUGAAUGAGCCGAUGUCGGAUUAGCUAGUUGGCGGGGUAAAGGCCCACCAAGGCGACGAUCCGUAGCUGGUCUGAGAGGAUGAUCAGCCACACUGGAACUGAGACACGGUCCAGACUCCUACGGGAGGCAGCAGUGGGGAAUAUUGGACAAUGGGCGCAAGCCUGAUCCAGCCAUGCCGCGUGGGUGAAGAAGGCCUUCGGGUUGUAAAGCCCUUUUGUUGGGAAAGAAAAGCAGCAGGUUAAUACCCCGCUGUUCUGACGGUACCCAAAGAAUAAGCACCGGCUAACUUCGUG